CGGACGGGUGAGUAAUGUCUGGGAAACUGCCCGAUGGAGGGGGAUAACUACUGGAAACGGUAGCUAAUACCGCAUAACGUCGCAAGACCAAAGAGGGGGACCUUAGGGCCUCUUGCCAUCGGAUGUGCCCAGAUGGGAUUAGCUAGUAGGUGGGGUAAUGGCUCACCUAGGCGACGAUCCCUAGCUGGUCUGAGAGGAUGACCAGCCACACUGGAACUGAGACACGGUCCAG
rnacentral:rRNA from 1 species